rnacentral:rRNA from 1 species
GACGAACGCUGGCGGCGUGCCUAAUACAUGCAAGUCGAACGCUCUUUUCUUAUCGAACUUCGGUUCACCAAGAAAAGGGAGUGGCGAACGGGUGAGUAACGCGUUGGUGACCUGCCCCGAAGUGUGGAAUAACAGAUCGAAAGAGCUGCUAAUACCGCAUAAUAUCCAGAAGAUUAGACGCUUUUGGAUUAAAGGAUUUUAUUCGCUUCGGGAGGGGCCUGCGUCCCAUCAGCUAGUUGUAAGUAAUGGCUUACCAAGGCUAUGACGGUAGGGACCUGAGAGGUGGCCCCCCANAAUGGAACUGAAACACGGUCCAUACACCUACGGGUGCAGCAGUAGGAAUAUUAGUAAUGGGAC